rnacentral:tRNA from 1 species
UAUUCAAUUAGUUUAUUUAAAAAUUUUGAUUUGUGGAAUCAGCGAAGAAUUUUUCAUUGGAU